rnacentral:rRNA from 1 species
GUCUACGGCCAUGCCACCCUGAACCAGCCCGAUGUCUGAUCUCGGAAGCCAAGCAGGGUUGGGCCUGGUUAGUACUUGGAUGGGAGACCACCUAGGAAGACCAGGUUAUGUAGGCA